rnacentral:rRNA from 1 species
GUGGGGAAUAUUGGUCAAUGGGGGAAACCCUGAACCAGCAACGCCGCGUGAAGGAAGAAGGCUUUCGGGUUGUAAACUUCUUUGACAGGGGACGAAACAAAUGACGGUACCCUGAAAACAAGCCACGGCUAACUACGUGCCAGCAGCCGCGGUAAUACGUAGGUGGCAAGCGUUGUCCGGAUUUACUGGGUGUAAAGGGCGUGUAGGCGGGACGGUAAGUCAGAGGCGAAAUGUAGGGGCCCAACCCCUGAACUGCAUUUGAAACUAUCGUUCUUGAGUGAUGCAGAGGCAGGCGGAAUUCCGUGUGUAGCGGUGAAAUCGGUAAAUAUACGGAGGAACACCAGUGGCGAAGGCGGCCUGCUGGACAUUAACUGACGCUGAGGCGCGAAAGCGUGGGGAGCAAACAGGAUUAGAAACCCCAGUAGUCC